rnacentral:rRNA from 1 species
GGUCUAAAGGCGCAAGUCGCCUGGGGAGGAGCCUGCGUACGAUCUAGCUAGUUGGUGGGGUAAAGGCCUACCAAGGCGACGAUCGUUAGCUGGUCUGAGAGGAUGAUCAGCCACAUUGGGACUGAGACACGGUCCAAACUCCAUACGGGAGGCAGCAGUGGGGAAUAUUGGACAAUGGGCGAAAGCCUGAUCCAGCAAUGCCGCGUGUGUGAUGAAGGCCCUAGGGUUGUAAAGCUCUUUUGUGCGGGAACGAUAAUGACCGGUACCGCAAGAAUAAGGAUCGGUAACUCCGUGCCAGCAGCCGCGGUAAUACGGAGGGAUCCAAGCGUUAUCCGGAUUUAUGGGGUUUAAAGGGUGCGUAGGCGGCCUAUUAAGUCAGGGGUGAAAGACGGUAGCUUAACUAUCGCAGUGCCUUUGAUACUGGAUGGGCUUGAAUACACUAGAGGUAGGGCGGAAUGUGACCAAGUAGCGGUGACAAUUG